UACGUAGGGUGCGAGCGUUAAUCGGAAUUACUGGGCGUAAAGCGUGCGCAGGCGGUUGUGCAAGACAGGUGUGAAAUCCCCGGGCUUAACCUGGGAACUGCACUUGUGACUGCACGGCUAGAGUACGGUAGAGGGGGAUGGAAUUCCGCGUGUAGCAGUGAAAUGCGUAGAUAUGCGGAGGAACACCGAUGGCGAAGGCAAUCCCCUGGACCUGUACUGACGCUCAUGCACGAAAGCGUGGGGAGCAAACAGG
rnacentral:rRNA from 1 species